rnacentral:rRNA from 1 species
UUAGGAAUAUUCGUCAAUGGGGGAAACCCUGAACGAGCAAUGCCGCGUGAGUGAUGACGGUCUUUAUGAUUGUAAAACUCUGUUGUUAGGGAAGAAACCUUAUCAUAGGAAAUGAUGAUAAGCUGACGGUACCUUUCCAGAAAGCCCCGGCUAACUACGUGCCAGCAGCCGCGGUAAUACGUAGGGGGCGAGCGUUAUCCGGAUUUAUUGGGCGUAAAGCGUGUGUAGGCGGUUUGUUAAGUAUAAGAUUAAAGCCUGAGGCUCAACCUCAGUCCGUCUUAUAAACUGGCAGACUUGAGUGUGGUAGAGGCAAGUGGAAUUUCUAGUGUAGCGGUUAAAUGCGUAGAUAUUAGAAGGAACACCAGUGGCGAAGGCGGCUUGCUGGGCCAUUACUGACGCUGAGACACGAAAGCGUGGGGAGCAAAUAGG